rnacentral:rRNA from 1 species
CCUACGGGGGGCAGCAGUGGGGAAUAUUGGACAAUGGGGGCAACCCUGAUCCAGCCAUGCCGCGUGUGUGAAGAAGGCCCUCGGGUUGUAAAGCACUUUCAGUGAGGAAGAACGCCUGGUGGUUAAUACCCAUCAGGAAAGACAUCACUCACAGAAGAAGCACCGGCUAACUCCGUGCCAGCAGCCGCGGUAAUACGGAGGGUGCGAGCGUUAAUCGGAAUUACUGGGCGUAAAGCGCGCGUAGGUGGCUUGAUAAGCCGGUUGUGAAAGCCCCGGGCUCAACCUGGGAACGGCAUCCGGAACUGUCAAGCUAGAGUGCAGGAGAGGAAGGUAGAAUUCCCGGUGUAGCGGUGAAAUGCGUAGAGAUCGGGAGGAAGACCAGUGGCGAAGGCGGCCUUCUGGACUGACACUGACACUGAGGUGCGAAAGCGUGGGUAGCAAACAGGAUUAGAUACCCUGGUAGUG